UACGUAGGUGGCAAGCGUUGUCCGGAAUUAUUGGGCGUAAAGCGCGCGCAGGCGGUCCUUUAAGUCUGAUGUGAAAGCCCACGGCUCAACCGUGGAGGGUCAUUGGGAACUGGGGGACUUGAGUGCAGAAGAGGAAAGCGGAAUUCCACGUGUAGCGGUGAAAUGCGUAGAGAUGUGGAGGAACACCAGUGGCGAAGGCGGCCUUCUGGUCUGUAACUGACGCUGAGGCGCGAAAGCGUGGGGAGCAAACAGG
rnacentral:rRNA from 1 species